rnacentral:lncRNA from 1 species
GCACCCUCGGUUAGCCAGGAUCACUGCGGCUGCGCUCCGUGUCUGUCACACAUGUUCCCCGAACAUAAGGAGACGGGAUAAUGAACCGCCUCCAAGCUGCUGAGCUUUAACUUGGGUAGAAAAUAGGCAAGCGUCGCGGAUGAGGAUUCAGGAAGCAGGUGGGUCUCCCCACGAUCAUUCUUCAGCCGUAGGAAAAUCGAAAAAGGUGGGAAAGUGGUGAGAAAGGUUACAGCAGCUGUAACUUUUGGUUCAGGAGACACGCCUCUGGGAGCCUUCAGACGGCUGAAACCUGAGCCAGCCGCCGCCAGUCUCUGACCCCGACCCGCCCAGCCCGUCGUCGUGGCUCAAACCAAGUGUGCCUCGUUGAUGGAUGACACCGAGGCUUUUCACCCCAUUUGCUCAACCACAAAACUGCGCUCUUAGAGCAAGAGAGAAGUCAGCAGGCACGGCAGGGACCCCGCGGGGGCGGGUAAGGGGAUCUGGUUCCGACCGCUGUGGACGACCCACCGCAGCCCUACGGAGUGAUCCGGGCGCUGCCCACCCGCGCGGGGCUCGCGUCUGAACCAGCCCCUGCGAGGUCGAGGCCCGAGGCCCACACUGACCUUGGACUGGGCGCUCGCCGGCAGGUCGAGGAUCCGAGAAGACAGGGGACCCGCGUUCUCCACUGGACCUAAACGAGUGGCUGGGUCGGGCGACCCUCAAAGCCUGAGGCUUUGAGCCGGGUUUUCCAGCCGGGGAAAGGUUGAGGGGAGAUCCGACCGCGCUGCAGCUCGUGGACACCCCCUUGGAGAGUGUGCGCGCCCUGUGAAUCUCUGCAUAGAGGGAUCCAGAAAAACGGCGGGAUGCAUCGACCUUUGCCUGUGGGGAUUUCAAGAUACGCGUCUUAUUCCCGCAUCGGUUCAUUUGUUCGUUCACUUCUUGAGCUCCCACCACGUGCUGGGAACUGUGCGGUGUGCACUCUUCACCUCGAUUUCGGCAAACACAAAUAAACAGCCCCGACUAAUCA